rnacentral:rRNA from 1 species
AGCAGCCGCGGUAAUUCCAGCUCCAAUAGCGUAUAUUAAAGUUGUUGCAGUUAAAAAGCUCGUAGUUGAAUUUCGGGAUCAAUUUGCUGGUCGUGCCUCUGGUACGUACUGGUAUUAUUGGUUUCUCCCUUCUGACGAACCAUGAUGUCAUUAAUUUGAUGUCGAGGAGAAUCAGGACUGUUACUUUGAAAAAAUUAGAGUGUUUAAAGCAGGCAUUAGCUUGAAUACAUUAGCAUGGAAUAAUGAAAUAGGACGUUUGAUCCUAUUUUGUUGGUUUCUAGGAUUGACGUAAUGAUUAAUAGGGAUAGUUGGGGGCAUUAGUAUUCAAUUGUCAGAGGUGAAAUUCUUGGAUUUAUUGGAGACUAACUACUGCGAAAGCAUUUGCCAAGGAUGUUUUCAUUAAUCAAGAACGAAAGUUAGGGGAUCGAAGACGAUCAGAUACCGUCGUAGUCUUAACCAUAAACUAUGCCGACUAGGGAUCGGAUGAUGUUAAUUUUUUAAUGACUCAUUCGGCGCCUUACG